rnacentral:rRNA from 1 species
GGGCAAUGCAUUACAAGUGUGACCCAGCAAGUCUCGUGGAUGAUGAAGAUAUUAAAUUAUAUUGUAAAAUUCUAUCUUUUAUAUUAUAAUGAAUUAUAAAAAGGAAGCACAGGCUAAAUUCGUGCCAGCAGCCGCGGUAAUACGGAUUGUGCAAGUCUUGACCUCGUGACUAGGUGUAAAAGGCCACAUAGGAGGUUAUAAAAGUUAUUGAGUAAAUACAGGGUAUAAACCUUGGAAUCUUAAUAAAACUUUAUAACUAGAAUAUAAUAGGGGUUUAAGAUAUCUUCUAAGUAAAGGUGAAAUUUGUAGAAAUAGAAGGGAUGACCUAUUAAGUGAAAACAUUAAAUCAUUUUAUAUUGACUCUGAAGUGCUAAAGUAUGGGGUUCAAAUGGGGGUUGUAUUCCCAAUAGUCCAUACCCUGACCGCUGAGAGUUAGAUUAGUUUAAAUAUUAAAUGAAAAGGUUGAGAAAAUCAAUUAAUUUAUUUAUUCUUUAAUUGAAAUUUAGAUUAAUCUGAAGCUAACGCCUAAACUCUCUACCUGGC